rnacentral:rRNA from 1 species
GAUGAACGCUAGCGGCAGGCCUAAUACAUGCAAGUCGAACGGUAAAUAUUGUAGCAAUACGAUAUGAGAGUGACGUACGGGUGCGUAACACGUAUGCAACCUACCCAAAACUGGAGUAUAGCUCGGGGAAACCCGAAUUAACCCUUCAUAGUAUCACUGGAUGGCAUCAUUUGGUGAUUAAAACUCAGGUGGUUUUGGAUGGGCAUGCGUCUGAUUAGCUAGUUGGCGGGGUAAAGGCCCACCAAGGCGAUGAUCAGUAGGGGAACUGAGAGGUUGAUCCCCACACUGGCACUGAGAUACGGGCCAGACUCCUACGGGAGGCAGCAGUAGGGAAUAUUGGUCAAUGGAUGCAAGUCUGAACCAGCCAUGCCGCGUGCAGGAAGAAGGCCUUCUGGGUUGUAAACUGCUUUUGCCAGAGGAUAAAAUGGGCGUGCGCGCCUAAUUGAAGGUACCUGGUGAAUAAGCCACGGCUAACUACGUGCCAGCAGCCGCGGUAA